rnacentral:rRNA from 1 species
AUGCAGUGGUUGGGCGACUCGGUGGAUAAGGAAGUGAAGUUGGAUUUGUGUCUUAUCGCGGUGGAGGGAGAGGUGGAGACAUUGACUCCGGCGACGGCGAGUGGGCGGUCCGGCGAUCUCGCAGGUGUUCCGCCGAGCAUGGAAUUCUUGCUGCAGCCAAUAAACAGAACUCUGCUUGAGGAGGUCAAUGAAAGUAACGGGACAAUGGAGCCCGUUCGGUUCCCAGUGGCCGCGCCGGCGGAGAUUCCUGCUCCAGCCCCGGCCGGGUCAAGUGCGGACGGCCAGAUCUAUCGGCCGGAAGCAUCAGGCGGGGACAAGGCUCAGGGGUCAGAGCACUCAAUAGAGCAGUUGGACCCCAAGACGCCAGGAUGGAUGCAAAGGGUGCGUGUAGGUGCUGCUGCUCCAGGCAGGCCUCCUUGUGCGGACAGGGUCACGACGCUGGAGAAGACCGUGAGGGAGUUUGCGGAGCAUCCAAGAGACAUAGUUAUGAUGCCAAAGAUUGGAACCAGUUUCGACACCCUCGGAGAAGCAUAUGACUUUUACAAUUUGUACUCAUGGAAGAAAGGAUUUGGUAUUCGUUACAGAAAGAGCAGGCUGAAUGUGAAUAGGACGAAGUGUAUGCAAGAGAUCGUGUGUGGAUGCGCGGGCAAGCCAAUCGUUGAGAAUACUCGUUCGUGCCGGUGUGAAUGCCCGGCCCUCAUCAGACUCCCGAGGACAAAGGACAAUGGAUGGUACAUAGCAGAGCAUCGAGAUGGGCACAACCAUGCAUUGUCACAAACGUAUGGCCAGACAAUACACUGGCCAUCACACAAGCAUAUUGACGUUUACAGCAAGGAUCUAGUUAAGCAGUUGAGGCAGAACAAUGUCAAUUUGUCAAAAGUCUACAGCAUUAUUGGAAGCUUUUUCGGAAAGAUGGAGAAUGUGCCAUUCACCAAGAGAGCUCUGCGAAAUUUGUGUGGGAAGAUAAGCCGGGAGCAGUCAGAAGAUGAUGUUAGGAAAACAAUGGAAGUGUUUCAUGAUCUGUGCUCAAAGGAUCCUCAGUUCACGUAUCGAGUUCAGGCGGACAAAGAGGGCAGGAUCAGCAACUUGAUGUGGGCUACAGGUAACAGUAGGCUGCAGUACAACUUCUUUGGGGAUGUCAUCACAUUUGACACAACCUAUAGGACCAACCUGUAUGACAUGCCAUUUGGGUUAUUUGUUGGAGUGAACAACCAUUUCCAGAGUAUCAUACUAGCUGGUGUGCUAGUUCGGCAUGAGACAGAGGAAACAUUUGAGUGGGUCUUCUCGGAGUUUGUGAGGAUAAUGGGGGGAAGGACCGUGGGACUCGCCCGGGGGCUACCAUCAUUGGGUGGCGUCCGGCGCGCCUUGCUUGCGCUAGCCCGCACAUGA